rnacentral:rRNA from 1 species
AUUGAACGCUGGCGGCAUGCCUUACACAUGCAAGUCGAACGGCAGCACGGGUGCUUGCCCCUGGUGGCGAGUGGCGAACGGGUGAGUAAUACAUCGGAACAUGUCCUGUAGUGGGGGAUAGCCCGGCGAAAGCCGGAUUAAUACCGCAUACGAUCUACGGAUGAAAGCGGGGGACCUUCGGGCCUCGCGCUAUCGGGUUGGCCGAUGGCUGAUUAGCUAGUUGGUGGGGUAAAGGCCUACCAAGGCGACGAUCAGUAGCUGGUCUGAGAGGACGACCAGCGACACUGGGACUGAGACACGGCCCAGACUCCUACGGGAGGGAGCAGUGGGGAAUGUUGGACAAUGGGCGAAAGCCUGAUCCAGCAAUGCGGCGCGUGUGAAGAAGGCCUUCGGGUUGUAAAGCACUUUUGUCCGGAAAGAAAUCCUUGGCCCUAAUACGGUCGGGGGAUGACGGUACCGGAAGAAUAAGCACCGGCUAACUACGUG